GAAAAGAAACCAACAGGGAUUGCCCUAGUAACGGCGAGUGAAGCGGCAACAGCUCAAAUUUGAAAUCUGGCUUCGGCCCGAGUUGUAAUUUGCAGAGGAUGUUUCUGGCGCGGUGCCUUCCGAGUUCUCUGGAACGGGACGCCACAGAGGGUGAGAGCCCCGUAUGGUUGGACACCAAGCCUGUGUGAAACUCCUUCGACGAGUCGAGUAGUUUGGGAAUGCUGCUCAAAAUGGGAGGUAAAUCUCUUCUAAAGCUAAAUACCGGCCAGAGACCGAUAGCGCACAAGUAGAGUGAUCGAAAGAUGAAAAGCACCUUGAAAAGGGGGUUAAACAGUACGUGAAAUUGUUGAAAGGGAAGCGCUUGUGACCAGACUUGCGCCGGGCGGCUCAUCCGGGGUUCUCCCCGGUGCACUCCGCCCGGCUCAGGCCAGCAUCGGUUUUCGUUGGGGGAUAAGAACGGCAGGAACGUGGCCCUCCUUCGGGUGGGUGUUAUAGCCUGCCGUACGAUACCCUGACCGGGACCGAGGUUCGCGCUCCCAAGGAUGCUGC
rnacentral:rRNA from 1 species